UGCCACACUGAUGGGGCUAAUGGACAC
rnacentral:piRNA from 2 species